GAUGAACGCUAGCGGCAGGCUUAAUACAUGCAAGUUGAGGGGCAGCAUGAUAUACGCGAGUAUAUUGAUGGCGACCGGCGGACGGGUGAGUAAUAGGUAGGAGACCUACCUCAUACAGGGGGAUAGCAUAGAGAAAUCUGUGGUAAUACCCCAUGAGGUUAUAUGAAUAGAGGCAUAUAAUCAAAGCAUAAGUGAUUAUGCGGUAUGAGAGGGGCCUACUGACCAUUAGCUAGUUGGUGAGGUAAGGGCUCACCAAGGCGAAGAUGGUUAGGGGUUUUGAGAGAGAGACCCCCCACAUUGGAACUGAGAGACGGUCCAGACUCCUACGGGAGGCAGCAGUAGGGAAUAUUGGGCAAUGGGCGAAAGCCUGACCCAGCCAUGCCGCGUGAAGGAAGACGGCCUUAUGGGUUGUAAACUUCUUUACUACGCGAAUAGAGGUUAGUACGAGAUACUAAUAGGAAGGUAGUGUAGUAAAACGCACCGGCUAACUCCGUGCC
rnacentral:rRNA from 1 species